rnacentral:rRNA from 1 species
UGUAUAAUGGGUCAGCGACUUAUAUUCUGUAGCAAGGUUAACCGAAUAGGGGAGCCGAAGGGAAACCGAGUCUUAACUGGGCGUUAAGUUGCAGGGUAUAGACCCGAAACCCGGUGAUCUAGCCAUGGGCAGGUUGAAGGUUGGGUAACACUAACUGGAGGACCGAACCGACUAAUGUUGAAAAAUUAGCGGAUGACUUGUGGCUGGGGGUGAAAGGCCAAUCAAACCGGGAGAUAGCUGGUUCUCCCCGAAAGCUAUUUAGGUAGCGCCUCGUGAAUUCAUCUCCGGGGGUAGAGCACUGUUUCGGCAAGGGGGUCAUCCCGACUUACCAACCCGAUGCAAACUGCGAAUACCGGAGAAUGUUAUCACGGGAGACACACGGCGGGUGCUAACGUCCGUCGUGAAGAGGGAAACAACCCAGACCGCCAGCUAAGGUCCCAAAGUCAUGGUUAAGUGGGAAACGAUGUGGGAAGGCCCAGACAGCCAGGAUGUUGGCUUAGAAGCAGCCAUCAUUUAAAGAAAGCGUAAUAGCUCACUGGUCGAGUCGGCCUGCGCGGAAGAUGUAACGGGGCUAAACCAUGCACCGAAGCUGCGGCAGCGACACUAUGUGUUGUUGGGUAGGGGAGCGUUCUGUAAGCCUGCGAAGGUGUACUGUGAGGUAUGCUGGAGGUAUCAGAAGUGCGAAUGCUGACAUA